CAGAAACAGCCCAGCGUUAGCAGCCCUUAUGCCAAGGAAACCUAAAGAGCAUGAAUACAACAUAAACGCAGGGCUGGGAAAGUGCCUUUCUUAGCAUGAUAGCCUGCCUGCCUGCCUGACAGUGAAAGAGGUAGAGGUGAAGGCUUCAAGCUAACAUUCAAGGAGAAGGUCACAGAUGGAAAGAUAUUGCCACAGGGACUCUUCAAGGCACUGUAUCCUGAAGCUCUAAUCUCGAGUGAAAUCUGUCUAUUUAAAAAGCUGUAGUAGGAGCCUUCAUCAUUCCUAUGCUUCAGAAAUUAAUUGGACCAAACUCUUCUGCAUAUUCAGGACAGUUGAGAUGGGAAAAAUCUCCCUUUGGAUGCUGGAAGAUUUAACAUAGCUUAAUUUUCAGCUACAAUACCAUAUGUGAAUGGUCCACACGUGUAUUGUUACAGUAUAGCUUAUCUGUCAAACUGAUGUAUGAGACUAGCUGUGAUUUGCCUCUGACUUACUUGAUAUCCUGUUGUAAGGUAAUGCCUUCCUAUUCAGUUUUACCUCUGCUUUGCAAUACUUUAUUAAA
ensembl:lncRNA